rnacentral:rRNA from 1 species
UGACUCUGCGCGGAAAAUGUAACGGGGCUAAACGUAUCACCGAAGCUAUGGCAGUCCUUACGGACUGGGUAGGGGAGCGUUCCAAGCAGCAGUGAAGCCGUACUGGAAAGAGCGGUGGAGCGCUUGGAAGUGAGAAUGCCGGUGUAAGUAGCGAAAAGACAAGUGAGAAUCUUGUCCACCGAAAGCCUAAGGUUUCCUGGGGAAGGCUCGUCCUCCCAGGGUUAGUCGGGACCUAAGCUGAGGCCGAAAGGCGUAGGCGAUGGACAACAGGUUGAUAUUCCUGUACCACCUCUGUUCCGCUUGAGCAAUGGCGUGACGCAGGAGGAUAGGGUGAGCGGCCUACUGGAUGGCCGUCCAAGCAGUAAGUGUGGUGUGUAGGCAAAUCCGCACACCGUGAAGCAUGAGCUGUGAUGGCGAGGGAAAUUUUAGUACCGAAGUCCCUGAUUUCACACUGCCAAGAAAAGCGUCU